GACGAACGCUGGCGGCGUGCCUAAUACAUGCAAGUAGAACGCUGAAGGAGGAGCUUACUUCUCUGGAUGAGUUGCGAACGGGUGAGUAACGCGUAGGUAACCUGCCUGGUAGCGGGGGAUAACUAUUGGAAACGAUAGCUAAUACCGCAUAAGAGUAGAUGUUGCAUGACAUUUACUUAAAAGGUGCAAUUGCACCACUACCAGAUGGACCUGCGUUGUAUUAGCUAGUUGGUGGGGUAACGGCUUACCAAGGCGACGAUACAUAGCCGCCCGGAGAGGGUGAUCGGCCACACUGGGACUGAGACACGGCCCAGACUCCUACGGGAGGGAGCAGUAGGGAAUCUUCGGCAAUGGACGGAAGUCUGACCGAGCAACGCCGCGUGAGUGAAGAAGGUUUUCGGAUCGUAAAGCUCUGUUGUAAGAGAAGAACGAGUGUGAGAGUGGAAAGUUCACACUGUGACGGUAUCUUACCAGAAAGGGACGGCUAACUACGUGCCAGCCGCCGCGGUAA
rnacentral:rRNA from 1 species